rnacentral:rRNA from 1 species
AUACGUAGGUGACAAGCGUUAUCCGGAUUUACUGGGCGUAAAGGGCGUGUAGGCGGUCUUGCAAGUCAGAAGUGAAAUUCCUGAGCUCAACUCGGGCGCUGCUUCUGAAACUGCAGGACUUGAGUGCUGGAGGGGAUAGCGGAAUUCCUAGUGGAGCGGUGAAAUGCGUAGAGAUCGGUAGGAACACCAGUGGCGAUGGCGGGUAACUGGACUGCAACGGACGCUGAGGCGCGAAAGUGUGGGGAGCAAACAGGAUUAGAUACCCUGGUAGUCCACACUGUAAACGAUGAAUGCUAGGUGUAAGAGGUAUCGACCCCUUUUGUGCCGGAGUUAACACAAUAAGCAUUCCGCCUGGGGAGUACGGCCGCAAGGUUGAAACUCAAAUGAAUUGGCGGGG